UACGAAGGGGGCUAGCGUUGCUCGGAAUCACUGGGCGUAAAGCGCACGUAGGCGGGUCGUUAAGUCAGGGGUGAAAUCCCGGAGCUCAACUCCGGAACUGCCUUUGAUACUGGCGAUCUUGAGUUCGAGAGAGGUGAGUGGAACUGCGAGUGUAGAGGUGAAAUUCGUAGAUAUUCGCAAGAACACCAGUGGCGAAGGCGGCUCACUGGCCCGGUACUGACGCUGAGGUGCGAAAGCGUGGGGAGCAAACAGG
rnacentral:rRNA from 1 species